UACAGAGGGUGCAAGCGUUAAUCGGAAUUACUGGGCGUAAAGCGUGCGUAGACGGUUACAUAAGUCGGGUGUGAAAGCCCCGGGCUCAACCUGGGAAUUGCAUUCGAGACUGCGUAGCUAGGGUGCGGAAGAGGGAAGCGGAAUUUCCGGUGUAGCGGUGAAAUGCGUAGAGAUCAGGAGGAACACCGGUGGCGAAGGCGGCCCACUGGGCCAGCACUGACGCUGAGGCGCGAAAGCUCGGGGGGCGAACGGG
rnacentral:rRNA from 1 species